GUCAUUUUCUCUGUCUCUCUCUCUCCCGAGUCCUCAUUCCUUCUUCUUCUUCCUUCAAACGUACGAACACACACCAAGAACCAUCAAACCGUAGCAGAUCGAGGAAACUAAGGGCUCAGUCGUGAUCGUGAGGUCGAGGGGAGCACGAUCAUACCAUUUUCAGCUCAUAGGUGGCUUGGUGAGGUCCCAAGGAGUCUCGGAGUGACUCGUUGGACGAAGUUGGACGUCGGGAUAGCUUGGUUCGAGGUUGGCCGGUUUUGGAGUUUGUGGACAGGUAUGAUCUUGUGGUUUUUAGCCUUUAAAAGUAGU